rnacentral:rRNA from 1 species
UACGAAGGGGGCUAGCGUUGUUCGGAAUUACUGGGCGUAAAGCGCACGUAGGCGGAUAUUUAAGUCAGGGGUGAAAUCCCAGAGCUCAACUCUGGAACUGCCUUUGAUACUGGGUAUCUUGAGUAUGGAAGAGGUAAGUGGAAUUGCGAGUGUAGAGGUGAAAUUCGUAGAUAUUCGCAGGAACACCAGUGGCGAAGGCGGCUUACUGGUCCAUAACUGACGCUGAGGAGCGAAAAGCAUGGGGGAGCGAACAGG